rnacentral:rRNA from 1 species
GAUGAACGCUGGCGGCGUGCCUAAUACAUGCAAGUCGAGCGAACAGACGAGGAGCUUGCUCCUCUGACGUUAGCGGCGGACGGGUGAGUAACACGUGGAUAACCUACCUAUAAGACUGGGAUAACUUCGGGAAACCGGAGCUAAUACCGGAUAAUAUAUUGAACCGCAUGGUUCAAUAGUAAAAGACGGUUUUGCUGUCACUUAUAGAUGGAUCCGCGCCGCAUUAGCUAGUUGGUAAGGUAACGGCUUACCAAGGCAACGAUGCGUAGCCGACCUGAGAGGGUGAUCGGCCACACUAGAACUGAGACACGGUCCAGACUCCUACGGGAGGCAGCAGUAGGGAAUCUUCCGCAAUGGGCGAAAGCCUGACGGAGCAACGCCGCGUGAGUGAUGAAGGUCUUCGGAUCGUAAAACUCUGUUAUUAGGGAAGAACAAAUGUGUAAGUAACUAUGCACGUCUUGACGGUACCUAAUCAGAAAGCCACGGCUAACUACGUG